CUGCAGCCCAGUCAUGGCCCCCUCUGAAAAAACAUCAACCUAUAAAUCUGCGCACUAAUUCUCCAGUUGAGAAGCCAGCCAGCUUCUCAGCAGAGGGCGUCACGGCUCCAUUGGGGGCUUCAAUUAGUCUAAAUCUAAUCAGGAGCCCUGGGACUUGCAGAGCGUGCAUGCACGGUGGCCAGCACAGCCUGCCCGCUGUGGGUGUAAUCUCCCGCUUAAGCCUUCACUUGCACACUGCACCGGGGAGUGUCCUGGUGGGCGCAGUUCAGUGUUCGGCCAGCAGGGUGGCGCUGGUAAUGGAGCGUGGGCUAUCAUCCCAGCACCUUGAACAUCAGGGCUUUAUAAGAAAUAGGAGUUUAUGAAAACAACUUAUAAGAUUACUGCUCCCAGUCAAUAAAUAGGGGAGAUGAAUAUAGUCGGUAUCAGGAUCCUGAGUCACACAUCAUUGGAAACAAUAUAAAAAGACCCCACGAAAAUAUUAUAUAGUUAGAGGUGGUGCUAUACGCCCACCAGAACAGCAACUGGGAGGCUGACAAUGAAUGUUCAAGGCCAGCACAAGAGGCUGUCAAAAAAAAAAAAAAA
rnacentral:lncRNA from 1 species